UAUAAUCUAGGGUUCGAAUUCUCUUUGCAGCCCUGUCUCAAGGGGCUCUCAUAUUUUACUAAUAUUCUCGUUCAAGAGUUCUUACAGCACAUGAUAAACAGCUUUGGGAAAAAACUUGAACAAGUAUGGUAAUCACCAUAACACGAAAAGCUAAUCCACUUGUAAGUGGUAAUUCAGGUACUUCGCUGAACUUUAUCUCGUGGAAGCAUGUGAGCAUGA
rnacentral:lncRNA from 1 species